UGGUCCGUAGCUUUAAACAUUUCAUUUCAGCUCAUUGGUUGUACCUUUUUGCUUCGCUUGCUGUUAGGCGUUGACUUUCUCUUUCACUAAAUUUUUUUUUAUCCCACCACCUUUCUUCUCUUUGUUUUUUGUAGUUUAUCUUUUGGGUUUUGUGUUCUAUUUCAUAGACUUGUUAAAUAUUAUGCUUACUAAUUUGACCAUCUUGGGAUUUUACCCAAAUUUCUAAAGGUUAUUUUAAUCUUGUGAAUCAUUUUAAUUGGAUAACUUAAUGAUUUUUGGCAUACUGGGUUUUAUCCAGAUCUAUAAAGUCAGCUUGUGGGUUUUGAUUUACAUUAGGUGCUGACUCAUAAUUUACUGUCAUUCAUUUUUCACCAAGUUGUCCAGCAGAUAGUCAGACUGAUUGGCAGCAAAAAAAGUUGAUGUGGAUGAAGAUGAGUUUCAUAGCAGCAAUUGUAGGUUUCAUCAUUCACAAAAGCACCCUUUUGAAGGGAUAUUGUUAUUUAUAACUUGUGGCUAAUGAGAUCCUGGUAGUAACAUUUAUUUGAAAAAUUGUUGUUUAAACUGUGAUCUUAGGAUUGUUAUUUUCGUUGUCAUUCAGACUUCUACAUUAUCUCAAUUACCCAUGUGUAGUACUUUUUAAUCAUUUUCUUUGAGAUACAUUUGCAGAUUGGACAAUAUAUUUCAUCCAAUGGUGGUGUCAUCACAGCUGAAGAACUUGCACCAU
rnacentral:misc_RNA from 1 species